rnacentral:rRNA from 1 species
AUUGAACGCUGGCGGCAUGCCUAACACAUGCAAGUCGAACGGGGCAGCAAUGCCUAGUGGCGGACGGGUGAGGAACACGUAGGAAUCUGCCCUUAAGUGGGGGAUAACCAGGGGAAACCCUGACUAAUACCGCAUGAUCUCUUCGGAGCAAAGAGGGGGACCGCAAGGCCUCUCGCUUCUGGAUGAGCCUACGUCUGAUUAGCUAGUUGGUAGGGUAAAGGCCUACCAAGGCGACGAUCAGUAACUGGUCUGAGAGGAUGAUCAGUCACACCGGAACUGAGACACGGUCCGGACUCCUACGGGAGGCAGCAGUGGGGAAUAUUGGACAAUGGGCGCAAGCCUGAUCCAGCAAUGCCGCGUGUGUGAAGAAGGCCUUCGGGUUGUAAAGCACUUUAGCCUGGAAAGAAAAAACUUUGGUUAACACCCAAAGUCUUGACGGUACCCGGAGAAGAAGCCCCGGCUAACUUCGUGCCAGCCGCCGCCGUAAGAC